rnacentral:rRNA from 1 species
UACGGAGGGGGCUAGCGUUGCUCGGAAUUACUGGGCGUAAAGCGCACGUAGGCGGCUUUGUAAGUUAGAGGUGAAAGCCCAGGGCUUAACUCUGGAAUUGCCUUUAAGACUGCAUCGCUAGAAUCGUGGAGAGGUGAGUGGAAUUCCGAGUGUAGAGGUGAAAUUCGUAGAUAUUCGGAAGAACACCAGUGGCGAAGGCGACUCACUGGACACGUAUUGACGCUGAGGUGCGAAAGCGUGGGGAGCAAACAGG